rnacentral:rRNA from 1 species
UACGUAGGGGGCAAGCGUUGUCCGGAUUUAUUGGGCGUAAAGAGCGUGUAGGCGGUUUGGUAGGUCCGUUGUGAAAACUCGAGGCUCAACCUCGAGACGCCGAUGGAAACCAUCAGACUAGAGUCCGGAAGAGGAGAGUGGAAUUCCUGGUGUAGCGGUGAAAUGCGCAGAUAUCAGGAGGAACACCGGUGGCGAAGGCGGUUCUCUGGGCCUUACCUGACGCUGAGGAGCGAAAGCGUGGGGAGCGAACAGG